CAAACCAGCUGAAAUGAAGCUAUUUGAUGGCAUUGAAUGUGAAUUUCCCAUAUUUUUCCUUUACAUGAUGAUUGAUGGAGUUUUUAGAGGCAAA